rnacentral:rRNA from 1 species
GCUACCUGCAGUCGAGCGGUAGGGACUUCGGGUCCUGAGAGCGGCGCACGGGUGCGUAACGCGUUUACAACCCGCCCUGUACAGGGGAAUAGCCCGUCGAAAGGCGUAUUAAUGCCCCAUAGCCCUUGGGGGUGGCAUCGCCACCAAGGUAAAGAUUUAUCGGUACAGGAUGGGCAUGCGUGCCAUUAGCUGGACGGUGGGGUAACGGCCCACCGUGGCGACGAUGGCUAGGGGUUCUGAGAGGAAGGCCCCCCACACUGGGACUGAGACACGGCCCAGACUCCUACGGGAGGCAGCAGUGAGGAAUAUUGGUCAAUGGGCGGAAGCCUGAACCAGCCAUGCCGCGUGCGGGAAGAAGGCGCUACGCGUCGUAAACCGCUUUUGUCCGGGGGUAACCGCGGGGACGUGUCCCCGCCUGCAAGUACCGGACGAAUAAGGGUCGGCUAACUCCGUGCCAGCAGCCGCGGUAAUACGGAGGACCCGAGCGUUAUCCGGAUUCAUUGGGUUUAAAGGGUGCGCAGGCGGCCCGGUCAGUCAGCGGUGAAAUGCCCGCGCUUCACGCGGGAGCUGCCGUUGAUACUGCCGGGCUAGAAUCUCAGCGAGGCGGGCGGAAUGCGCGGUGUAGCGGUGAAAUGCAUAGAUAUCGCGCAGAACGCCGAUUGGGGAGCCAGCUCGCCAGCUGGGUAUUGACGCUGAGGCACGAAAGCGUGGGGAUCGAACAGGAUUAGAUACCCUGGUAGUCCACGCCGUAAACGAUGAUGGCUCGCUCUUGGCUGGAAACGGUCAGGGGCUUAGCGAAAGCGUUAAGCCAUCCACCUGGGGAGUACGCCGGCAACGGUGAAACUCAAAGGAAUUGACGGGGGC